rnacentral:lncRNA from 1 species
AUUAUUUUUUUUUAUCUUUGAUAUUUUUAAUCUUUUAAUUUAAAAUAAAAUAUAUUUUUAAAAAAUAUUAUUUAAAGGCUCGUGGGCUGGGCUUGGGUCUCAUCUAUAGGAGUCGCGUAAUCUGCAGUAGCCUUAGCUUUAACCCGGCCCUGCCCAUUGACCAGUCAAAGCCCAUCAGGACCGACCCAAGCCCGGCCCAUUGACAACCCUUAAGACCACACUGAUAACACCACAAUUAAUAAUUAAAAGGACAAAGUAAGAAAAAUGACAAAUAAUUUAGAGGAUAAAAUUAAAAUUGCCUCAACAUUAUUAUUUUGAUAUGUCAAUCAAGCACAUAACAUCACAUAAUAAGCAUCACCAUAAAUAAAAGAUACGAGCACACACGGGAACAACAAUUCUUACGAGAAAAAUUUAUCCACGGCAUAACUUCACCUUCAAAGUUAGACGCACUCUUGUUUGUGGAAGUCUUAUUCAGUUAUCAUUUCUUUUUGUUUAGUUUUCCCGUGUAUUCUAUUCCUUUUAAGUUGUUCUGUUACUACUUAUUUUUGUACUUAUAGCCAUAUUAUUUUAUAUGAUGUUCUUUUUUGCCAAAAAGAGGUCACUGUUAAGUCACCAAUUAUCCUAAAAGCUUAAGUUAGUAGGAAAUGGGUUUAACAACAUAUAUCAAGCAUCCAACACCCUUACUCGUGUGCAACCCUCAUGUGCACCCCCAUCUUGCAUGUAGAAAUGUAAACAUUCAGACAUCGAGCGAAACUGAACUCAAAGGGAAGAAACAAAAUGCAAAUGACAAAAAAAGUCAAAACGUAAGGACUUAAACCCAAGGCCUCUCAAAAACCAAAACUCUAACAUCAUGCAUCAUUAAUUAUCUCAGAACUUAAGCUAUUAGGAGAAAGACCCAAUAACAUAUAUCAAGCUAUACAACAAUCAUACUAACUCCAUUUGCAAGAGCUCUACUAUCAACCUUAUCUUGUCUAUUAUCAUCGCUACCACGUGGCUCCAAUCAAAACUAUCUAGCUUGUUGGUAAGGUCAACCCAAUGCACUAGGGUUUUGUAUGUGCAAAUUAGUUUCCUUUUGUUGAGGUAUUUACAUGAUCAUGUCCUUUUUGAGAUAUGUUUGUUUUAUUUCUUCCGUGUUUUUGGAAUGGAUACAUCUUUUUGUAUAAUUUUUGCUUUCAAUAAGAUUUCAUCGUUGUUGUCAAAAAGGAUACACAGGGUAAAUAAGUAAAGUAUCUAUUAGCAGCCAUUUAAAAAAAAUUACACCAACAGCCCUUGUAAUUUGCUGAAAAUAAAACAUACAUCCCAUGGUAUCAGAAAUUGCACUAUAUGCAACACUUUGAACAUGCAGUUAGGAGAUAUAACAAUAUUUGGUGGUGUCAGGUAAACAAAUUUUGUAAUAUCUUAAAAUGUUUAUGGUUUUCGCAUUAAAAGAUGAUUCAGCAAAGUAAGGGAAAGAUUGAUGCAACACUUCAUUUGUGCCACUCACACACUGUCAAAUAAAGUCUACUAGCAGAGAUCAGAGUGUAAGAGAUUUACUAACGAAAUGUGGAAAUGUUAUAUAUAUACAUAUAUAUAUGUAUGUAUACAUGUAUAUACGUGUAUAUAUAUAUAUAUGCACACACUUAUAUAUUUGUAUAUAUAUUAUCGACAAAUCACAGGGUGAUCAGUGGAUACUCGCAUCCAAUGGCAUCAUUCUCCAACCAACAGUGUACCUGUUCCAAAAAAAGAAAAAAGAAAAACAAGUACAUGCACCACAGGACUGGAUUAUAAAAGUAGGUGCAAGGAGCUCAUGUACCAGAAAAAGAAAAAAUGCAAGGUGAUCCCCCUACAUGCUGAAAGUCGUUCCUUCUCGUUCUUUUUUUUGGGGAGGGUUACAAAAAAGUUCAAAACAGUUGUUCACUUUUCAAGUCUAAUAUCCUCAGCUACACAGAAAUAGUAUUCUCAGGAUGUAUAACUAAAUAGAUAUUCUGGGGACCAAAAAUCAUUGCCUUCGUCAAGACUUAGUUGCAUGACGCGGGGCGGGGGGGCGGGAAGCGAGAUUAUAGAAGCUCAUAGUUUGGGUAGCGCCGCGAGAGCAUGUAUGAAAAAUUUAUAAAAUAUCAUAUCUACUAUCAAGAGGAAAAAAAUCAACUUUAUGUCCCACUUGCCGCAAACAAAACCUAAUCAAUGGGUGGGAAGACCAUUUAUUUUUUGUUUUAAUCAUUUUUUGAUGAUUGGGGGGUCCAAAUGUAUAAUUAAGAAACUUUGUAAGUUAAAAUGAAAAACACUUAUAAAGGUGAAGGAGUUGAAGCGUAAUUAAGGGUUUAAAAAAACCCAAAUCAAGCGACGUCACUUCACUUUUCUCUCUCGACUCUCUCUCUCUCGCAACGACGCAAGUCACAACAACACCAGCCACCAUUGCCGCGACGCCAGCCACCACCAACCACAACAAAUCCCUCUUUCUGCGUUCACGGACCAUCGGAGACCCGGAGGCCAGACCCAGAUCUGAAGCUUGAAGACCCAAGCGAUCAAAAUCCCAGAUCUGAAGCAUGAGAGUACGGACCGUCGCAACAGGUACGCUUCCAUCACUGUUGGGAACGAAUCUCUAACCAGAUGGGCACGUUUCCGUCGCGCUUCUGAGGAAGAAGUGCCAAUUCGCGGUUCGUGGGGGGAUCCGCCACCCCCAUGCGCGAUUCCUGCAACUAAGGUCAAGAUAUAGGAUUAUACUUACGAACUUCUCCAAAAUACCCAUUCUUGAGACAUGGUCAAAUACUUCUACAACUAUAUGUGUUUAUGUUCAAAUAUGAAAUAUUAACCUCAUGUCGAAGCAAGAGCAAAAGUAGGGCCCUAAUUAUCCAUAAAUUUUCGAAGGCUAUCAUCUCACAAUUAAGGUGGUAGAGAACCAACCAAACGAAAACUUUUAUUAAAAUUAAAAGGAUUACGAAAUAUAGCAAAGUGGGAAAAGUGCUUCAUUACUAAAAGAGCAUAUCACUUAAUUAACCAAUCAUAAGCUACCCAAACCCAACAAAGAAAGUUGGCAAGCUACCAACCAGUAACCCCCACCCCACCAAAAAAAAAUUGUGCAUCUCGCCUAACAAUACAUAUGUAUGAGUUACACAUCAAGGCUUCAAAUACAAUCAAAAGAAAUAAUAAACAGACCAAAGAACACCACCAGACUGACCCCAUCUUCUUGAUAAAUGGCAUCAUAACUAAACUUUAAAUGGCGCAAAUGCUUCAUGUCAGGUCAAAAUUCAUAAUGACAAUGAAUCCCAUUGAACAACCUUCUAAAAAAUUCUACAGACAUCCAUGUCCCCUAGCAGUUGAUUUUACUAUCUUCUACAUCAAAUGUCAAUGACACCAAAGCAUUGGCUGCAUACAUACUUCUAUUUUACAUGACUUCUAAAUUUGUUUUUUGUCAGAAACCGGCAUGUUUAGUUCGAUUAAGGAAAGUAGUCAAGAUAGUAUGGCAAUUCACAAGACUCUAAUUUUAUGCAUAGAAUGCCCUACGUUAGUUUGUCAAUAUUAUUUUAACCAAAAAAUAAAAUAUCAAAUAAUAUUCAAGAAAUAAGAUAUCUAACCGAGCCUUGUGCUCUUGGACAUGAGAAAUUGAAGAAUCCGGCACUAAGAAACACCCGCACCCAAUACGGUACCCAAGUCUAUGUAACGUCAACACCACUUUCAUAGUUUGAUAUCUUUAAUAUGGCUGAUAAGAUUUUACUGAGAAGAGGAUAUUUGUCUUGUCCAGGUACACACAUCUUUCAUUGCUAGGGUGGAUUCAAGCUCCUUUCCCACAUAACAGCUCUCACCUAUUGCCAUCAAACCAAAGUUUGUUUAUUGUGCAAGAAUAGUGCGACAAUGAAAAGGGAAAAAAAUAACACUAUAAGGUAUAAUACAUGCGAUAGAAUUGCUGAUAACAUAAGAAUAACAGAGCCAUAAUAAAUAACUAUAGUAAAUUAAAGCUGGGGGCAUUUGCUUAUAAACACAAUACACAAGAAAUGUAGCUCAUAACAAAUGAAGCACCUCCCAUAGAACAUCUCUUUCAUCAUACAAUCAACAAAGCAAUGGUUGACUGAAGGAACGUUUCUGUUUAUGACAGUCGAAGUUAGUUCAUUAGCUUUUGAUUUAUAACUAGUCACAAACCAAGCUUAUCAAAACUUACUUUAAAACCUUGGCAUCCCUCUAUUCAACAUUUGUUACCUCUAAUAAUUAGUAAAAACAAAAUAUAAGUAUUUUAGUAAUAACAAA